AGUGAACGCUGGCGGUAGGCCUAACACAUACAAGUCGAACGGCAGCACAGUAAGAGCUUGCUCUUACGGGUGGCGAGUGGCGGACGGGUGAGGAAUACAUCGGAAUCUACUUUUUCGUGGGGGAUAACGUAGGGAAACUUACGCUAAUACCGCAUACGACCUACGGGUGAAAGCAGGGGAUCUUCGGACCUUGCGCGAUUGAAUGAGCCGAUGUCGGAUUAGCUAGUUGGCGGGGUAAAGGCCCACCAAGGCGACGAUCCGUAGCUGGUCUGGGAGGAUGAUCAGCCACACUGGAACUGAGACACGGUCCAGACUCCUACGGGAGGCAGCAGUGGGGAAUAUUGGACAAUGGGCGCAAGCCUGAUCCAGCCAUACCGCGUGGGUGAAGAAGGCCUUCGGGUUGUAAAGCCCUUUUGUUGGGAAAGAAAAGCAGCAGGUUAAUACCCUGCUGUUCUGACGGUACCCAAAGAAUAAGCACCGGCUAACUUCGUG
rnacentral:rRNA from 1 species